rnacentral:lncRNA from 1 species
UAUAUCCAUACCCUAGUAAUGUUAUUGAGAGUAUUGUUUUAGAGAAGGAUCGAAUUACAUUGUAAUUCCAAAUGAAUAGGUUCUCCGAACAACUUCUACAUUAGCUUGGGUAGCUAUGACAUAUGGUUAGAUGUCACUCAUAGCUUGUGAGUUUUUCUAGAUGAUUAAAUGUAGUCAUCAAAGAAGAAAGGUGAAUUAAAAUGAAGUUUUAAUUCACUAAGUGAUUGAAUUAAAUAUAAUCAAUUGGAUUGAUGCCAAUCACCUCACUGCCUUGCUAAUUAGAACCUAAAAUGAUUGUACACCGAUACACUCUUGUAGUGAGUAAUUAAUGGAUGAUGGAAAUAAUUAAUUGGAUUAAUUAAGUGUUGUGAUUAAUUUAGAAAGUCUAAAGAAAUCAUAAAAGCGAUAAAGAUCGUUUUGGGCUUAAAGAAACGUUCGGGUUUAAUUGGGCCCAUUGGGCCUAAACCCAUUGGGCUUUUAUUCAAGCAUUGGAUGACUUGAAAUAAAUGAGAGCCCAAAGCCCAAACAACACAAAGAGGGCCGGCCACUUUAAGGUGAAGAGGGUGAGAUAUUUAGUCAAGUUGUUGACUAGGUUUCUUUUGUCUAUAUAAGGAACUUUAUACAGAUAUUGUUCAUUAGGGUUUUUGUGUGUUUAAAACAACAAAGAGGCAAAAGAAAUAUCUCUCUAAAACACAUCAAAGGCCGGCCACCUUGGGGUGAUUUUACUAACACAUCUUUCACCCUUUGGUUAUUCCUUCAUCCUUCUCACUACACUAGUGGGUGAGGAUCUUUAGAGGUUUUCAACUUUGGAAACUUGAAGAGAACCUAGGAGCACUCAUUCUUUCAAAGUGGAGGAGGCAAGGAGGGAAGCUAGGCUUAAGGAGUUCAAGGAACAAAGGGCUUGGAGGUGGUCCAUCCUUGGUCUCAAGUCUAGAUCAAGAGGUAUUAGACUAAACCUUCACUUUGUUCUUCUCUAAAAUUGUUUUGAUGCAUUAUAUAUAAACCUAUGAACCUUGAAGGGGAUUUGCAUGACUAUAGCUUUGAUAAUUUGUUAUAAAUGCUUCCGCUGCUUUCGUAUAUUAAAUUUGAUUUGUAUAUGCAUGAUAGUCAUUUUCGAAAUCCCAUAUGAAAACUCAUAAUUUUCCCUUCAUGGAUUAGUUAGAGGUCCGUUCUUCGCACAUGACACACUUGUACAUGAAUUGAUUUCCAAUUGCUUUUCAAUAAACUAUGAUGCUCAACACCCCAGAUUAACCGUGAUUCACAAAUUAACCCUCAGAUUUUCCUUUACUCAUUGAAUUGGAUGAAUGCAUGCGACAACCCAAAUCAUUCUCUAAAAGUCCCCUAUAUGAAUGCAUAAUAGAGAUACAAUCAGAGAUCAUUACGUUCAAUGAAAAUCAUAAGUGUUGACGAGGCAAUUAUAACUAUGAAUGCAUGAUACAAUUGCUAAGAAUUCAAUUAACGCGAUUGUGAUAAACAACCUUCACUACUCAUGAAUAUAAACUUGUAAUGAUUAGGUGAAACUCAUUUAUGUUCUAGCAUCUAAUUCAUGCAUGAAAACU